rnacentral:rRNA from 1 species
GAUGAACGCUGGCGGCGUGCUUAACACAUGCAAGUCGAACGGAAAGGCCCUGCUUUUGUGGGGUUCUCGAGUGGCGAUCGGGGGAGUAACACGUGAGUAACCUGCCCUUGACUUUGGGAUAACUUUAGGAAACUGGGGCUAAUACCGGACAGGAUCUCCUGCUGCAUGGUGGGGGUUGGAUAGUUUCGGCGGUUGGGGAUGGACUCGCGGCUUAUCAGCUUGCUGGUGGGGUAGUGGCUUACCAAGGCUUUGACGGGUAGCCGGCCUGGGAGGGUGACCGGCCACAAUGGGACUGAGGUACGGCCCAGACUCCUACGGGAGGCAGCGGUGGGAAAUAUUGCACAAUGGGAGGAAGCCUGAUGCAGCAACGCCGCGUGCGGGAUGACGGCCUUCGGGGUAUAAACCGCUUUCGCCUGAGACGAAGCGUGAGUGACGGUAAUGGGUAAAGAAGCACCGGCUAACUACGUG